AGACACUUACCGAGUCGCACACCGCGUCGGAAAAGGGAGGGCGCUGGAGAGACGAAGUUUAAAAGGGGCUUGGGCGGUCGGCACCCUGAGACAACCAACCAAAAAUUACCCCCAGCGCCCCUCCCGGCCUAGUAACAGCCCCGCCUGCGCUGCCCAUAGGCUCGCGCGCGCCCCCUGCCGGCGACUCACGUUCCCCAGCCCUGGCUUCGGAGCCGGCGGAUUCAGCACGCUUGCCUGAACACCUCUCUGUGUGGGUGUUCAUUUAUACCACGCUGCAGGUUUGAUGAAGCUCCUGGCAUCAAAUCAAAUAAUGUUAGCCUGUACAGUGGAGAAUCCCUGUUCUCCAUCAGACUCCUGUCUAGAAGCAAACGGAAGGUCUUCCAUGGGGAGCUCUGUGGAUGUGACCUGGCCACUGUUUCCAAAAGGACGAGGAAUAGAAAAUAAGAUCGUAGGAACUCUGGUGGUCACGGAUCCCCUGAUGUGUUCUGUAUGCGUUAGGAAGGUAAGUAAAAUCAGGGAAAUGGAACAGAGAUAGAUGGGAGAAGGGACUUCUUAUUUUAGACAGGAUGGUCAGCUAUGAGCAGCUGAUCUUCCUGAGGAGAUCUGAAGGCAGUGCGGGACUGAGCCAUGGGAAACCGAACAGAGGGGUGUAAAGGCAAAGGCCCUGAGGUAGGGAGGUGAGAGCAUGGUGAUCUCUGGAUAUGAUUCCCCCAAGCUGGGGCCCUGAAGCAGGCCCUCCUCUCUCCAAAUCAGGGGUCCUGGCCCCCAUCUCUGACCUCUUUUCUUACUCCCGUGCCCUCCCCCAAGUCUCGGGGAAGCAGGGGUCUCUUCCUCUUCUUCUCUCUUCCAGACUCCAUUGCUUUGGUAUUAGCUCUGUACCUUGACCCUCCCUCCUCCCCACCCCUAAAAUU